CUAUUGGGUUAAAUAUACAUAUAAUGUGACACUUAUUGUAACAGGAGUACUUCACCCCCAUAACCCAUUCUCCCACACAAAAGCUGUAUGUGUCUAUUCUUAAUUCUUAGCUCAGUUAGCUGGCAGGAGAGCAAUUGUUCCAUUAAUUGGAAAUAUGCAACAGGAGGAUGCUAAAUUAAUUACAGGAAAUUCAUAUAUGAUGUAGAAUGCGCCCUUAAAACUUACAUAGUAUUCAUUAGGCCGUCAUGGGCCAUAAAUCAAUCAGUUAGAGAUUCUGCAUUUUAUGGGUUUGUU